GCCUUCCCCACAGGGGUGCCCUUUUCACACAGUGUCUUGAACCACGAUAGGGCUCUAUGUAGGCGGUCUUUAUCGUGCAUGCUUUUGUAAAAGUGUUUCACUUGCAUAUAUCGGAAUGCUGUUAGAGGGGUCCGGGGCGUGUCCCCUAAUAAGGAGUCCAAGGUCCGUAUAUCGCCGUUCUGUAGUAUCUUGGUGAUGGGAACAUAUUCGCAUCC